rnacentral:lncRNA from 1 species
GUAUAUAAAUUGAAUGUUUAACAUAGAAUUUUCAUUGCUGUUGCGUUGCAUUCAUUCACACAGGUCGAAUGUAUUUUUGGAAAUUUUACAAAGGAUUUGAUUCAAGUAAUUCAUGGAUAUAUAGAACAAGAUCUAUGAUUCCCAUUCAGUGAAGCCUAUCAUUAUUGCCACCUGCUUGGAAAUUGCUUCAUUGGCCAUUGUGAUCUGGAGCUCUGUGCUUCCUAGGCUUUUUCAGCAACCCUGAUAUGAAUGUCACUGUGGCCACUGGAUUUAACAGAACAUGUUUACAGCCCGUACUGCAUAUCUGUAUGGAUUAAUGAAUCAAAGAAACAGAUUCAAGAAACAAAGAGGAACAACACUAUUCUCUCUGAGGUUAACACUGAAACCCUGGAAGGGAGAAAAGAAAUACUGGGCAACCUCCUUGAGCUGGCACAAGCCACCCUGUAGAGUGAGAGACUUCAGAAUGCCAACACACAGGACUUGGUGA